rnacentral:rRNA from 1 species
AAGACUUCAGAUAUGAUCCAGAGUACCACGGGACACGUGAAACCCUGUGGGAAGCAGGAGGGACCACCCUCCAAGGCUAAAUACUACCUAGUGACCGAUAGCGUAUAGUACCGUGAGGGAAAGGUGAAAAGAACCCCGGGAGGGGAGUGAAAUAGAACCUGAAACCCUGCACUUACAAGCUGUGGAAGCACAUUUCUUGUGUGACCGCGUACUUUUUGUAGAACGGGCCAACGAGUUACGUUAAGUAGCAAGGUUAAGCACUUAAGGUGCGGAGCCGUAGCGAAAGCGAGUUUUAACUGAGCGUUCAGUUACUUGACGUAGACCCGAAACCGGGCGACCUACCCAUGAGCAGGAUGAAGCGAAAGUAAAAUUUCGUGGAGGUCCGAACCCACGAGCGUUGAAAAGCUCGGGGAUGACUUGUGGGUAGCGGUGAAAUUCCAAUCGAGCCCGGAGAUAGCUGGUUCUCCCCGAAAUAGCUUUAGGGCUAGCCUCAAGGUGAGAGAUACGGAGGUAGAGCACUGAAUGUCCUAGGGGGUAUUGCACCUACCGAAGACUAUCAAACUCCGAAUGCCGUCAUCUUAUACUUGGGAGUCAGACUGUGGGUGAUAAGAUUCAUAGUCGAAAGGGCAACAGCCCAGAUCGUCAGCUAAGGUCCCUAAAUGUAAGUUAAGUGGUAAAGGAUGUGGGAUUGCACAGACAACCAGGAUGUUGGCUUAGAAGCAGCCACUCAUUCAAAGAGUGCGUAAUAGCUCACUGGUCGAGUGAUCCUGCGCCGAAGAUUUCCGGGGCUAAAACUUACUACCGAAGCUACGGCAUCAGUAAUGAUGGGUAGGGGAGCUUCCCAUACGGGUUGAAGCAUGACCGUAAGGACAUGUGGACAGUAUGGGAGUGAGAAUGUUGGCAUGAGUAGCGAGAUGUGGGUGAGAAUCCCACAGGCCGUAAACCCAAGGUUUCCAGGGGAAGGUUCGUCCGCCCUGGGUUAGUCGGGACCUAAGCUGAGGCCGAAAGGCGUAGGUGAUGGACAACAGGUUGAUAUUCCUGUACUACCGAUAACCGUUUGAGAGAAGGGAUGACACAGUAGGAUAAGCUAAGCACACUGUUGGUUAUGUGUGCCCAAGCAUUGAGGCAGUCAAAGUAGGCAAAUCCGCUUUGAUAAUGCUGGGAUGUGAUGGGGAGCGAAAUUUAGUAGCGAAGUAGCUGAUUUCACACUGUCAAGAAAAGUCUCUAUCGAGGUUAAAGGUACCCGUACCGCAAACCGACACAGGUGGGUGAGGAGAGUAUCCUAAGGCCAGCGAGAGAACUGUUGUUAAGGAACUCGGCAAAAUGACCCCGUAACUUAGGGAUAAGGGGUGCCACCAUCAGGUGGCCGCAGAGAAUAGGCCCAAGCGACUGUUUACCAAAAACAUAGGUUUCUGCUAAGUCGCAAGACGAUGUAUAGGAGCUGACGCCUGCCCGGUGCUGGAAGGUUAAGGGGAUCUGUUAGAGCAAUCGAAGCAGUGAACUUAAGCCCCAGUAAACGGCGGCCGUAACUAUAACGGUCCUAAGGUAGCGAAAUUCCUUGUCGGGUAAGUUCCGACCCGCACGAAAGGCGUAACGAUUUGGGCACUGUCUCAACAACAGACUCGGUGAAAUUGUAAUUCCGGUGAAGAUGCCGGAUACCUGCGACAGGACGGAAAGACCCCAUGGAGCUU